UCCUCGCCUUGGCAAGGGCCCUGGGCAGUGCUGGCUUGCUCACCUGCAACCUGAGACAGACCACUGUCCACUCCCUGCCUCGGUUUCCCUGUCGGCCAAGGGAGGGGCAACAGCCCCUGCUGCGGUCCCAAAGGGUUCUUGGUUGUUCCCAAUGUUACAAUGAGUUCAAGUUGGUUUACCAGCUGCGAAGGUGCUUUGGAAAUGGGGCCGUUAAAGCAUUCAGCAUGGAAGGUAUUAGUGCUAGCAUUUAGUUAUUGGCACGUGCCAAGUAUGCCAAGACAACUCAGACAGGAGGGGAGACUGCAGCCCACAGAAGCUCUGGUUUCUGGAAUCAGCCACCCCCAGCUCUGUGUCACCCCAGGCAAGUGACUCAAUCUCUCUGAGCCCCCAUUUCUCAUAUACAAAACCCACUUUUAGGAAUAGAAGCUUCCCAAGUCUGUGGCACCUGGCUAAAUCAUUCUAACAGGUAUUUAUUUGAAGAGCUCAUUUCUAUUGGUGGCAACCGAUUGGUUUUCAAUUUUAGGUAGAGAUAGAAGCCCCCCCCCUUUUUUACAUCAGUUUAUGUAAGAGAAAAAGGGUGAGUUGCUUGAAAGAAGAAUAUUAAACAAAGAAUACAGGCGGUAUGGAGGAUGGAGCAGAAGUCAAGAUGGUAGCUUGGUAAAGUUUCCUAGGUCCACUUACUUUAGAGUCCUUUUUUGCUUUAGGGAUUUUCAAGAUGACCCCGUGUAGUUGGGGUGGGGAGGGGUGUGCUCCGCCCUGACAACCUGGGUGUCACAUGUCUUCCCUUGAUGGAGUGGGCCCACCCCUUCCUUGCUCUGCAGCAUCAAUGAGACCCCUCAGACCUCGGCCCCUACACCCACCCAUAGCUCUUAUUUGUCUCUUAUUUCAGGACCAUGAUGCCCCAGUGCCCUCUUUCCCGGCCAAGGCACCUUCUCAGUGAAAUGGGGGGAAUAUUAAACCCUCCGUGUAGAGCAGGGGCUCAAUCAGGCAGCUCUGAUGGGUCCCAAAGGGCACCAGCAGCCCUGGGAUGGGCAGGGGGCACAGCAGUGCCCUCGGCUUGGAGGGGGGCUCCUCAAACAGGCCCCCCUGUGCCUGGCCGGGGCACCAGCUCCCCGCCCACUCCUGGGACAGUGGCUUGGAGAGGAAGCAGUAAGCGCUGGGUCCCCGCUGGGCAGGGGCAGACUCCAGUUUCACUUUCUGCUGUGUCAUGGGGUGGGGGGUGGCAUUGGGGCCCAGCUGGCCAGCUGGGGCGGGCACCUAGACAGCUGCCAGCCCAGCUGCCAGAGCACCACCCACACCCACUCCUGCCCAGCAGCCUGCCAGAAUAGGGGUUGGGCCCUCGGGCCACCCCUUAACUGCCUCUCCCCACAAAGUGGGGAGAACCUCAAGUGAGAAAAGCCAGGUAAUGGGGUGAAAUGGUUCCUGUUGAUUCUAGAUGAGAGCUCUCUGACCGGGCACCUGCUUCCUGCCUCCCUUCGCUGGGCACAUGUCUGCUGAGGACCUACUGUGUGCCAAGCUCUGUGACAGGUGCCGGCGGUACAGCAGGGAGCAAGACAGACCCUGCCCUCUUGGGGCUCCCAGUUGAGUCGGGGGGAGACAGAUGAAAGAGUAAGCAAAGAAAGAAAGAAUCCCCUGUUGUGGGGAAAGUUCCACACUGUAGGCUUGGCGUUAGCAUCUCAGGGAGGGGCGUGCAUACAUGCCUGUCUAUGCACAUGUGCGUGUCAGCAAUGUGUCGGCUCCGGGGACACACAGCUAGAUGAAGAACACAGACCUGGGGGCCAGAUGUCCCCUGUUUGAAUCUGGACUCUUUCACUGACGGGUGUGUGAACUCAGGUGACCUCAGGCAAGUCCCCGCUCCUGAGUUCCCCUGUCUGGGUGCUGGAGUAAAAGUGUCUCCAUGACAGAGCUGCAGUGAGGAUGAACUAAGCGAACAUCCCUAAAGACUAAGGGCUGUGCCUGGCACCGACCAUGUGCUAGGUAAGUCUCAGCUCUUAUCUAAGAAUAAUAAAUGUGCACUGUUCUUCUAGGAGGCAAUGCAGCUGUCCCCGCAGGCUGAGCGCACUGGUAAGAUGGUCUGAGUACAUUCUGGCAGCUCUGGGGUUUAUAGACAGCCAGCGCGAUUCUUAAAGCAAAGCCCGGCCGGCCGAGAGUGACAGCAGCACCGCCAGGAGAAGGCAACAGAGCUACAGCCCAGUGCCCUUCAAAAAGCUGGUCUCAUCCCCACACCCAUAAACAGUGUGUGUGCCCUGUGUGCCAGGGGAAGCAAAUACAAAUGAGGUAAGUACACGUUCCAUGCCAGCCUGGAUGGGGGUGGACCCGGCCUCUGAGGUCACCCCUGGAGCUUUCUGCGGCAGUAAGUGUUCGCAGUUCUCGCUAGCUUGGGUUUUAUAAACAAAGGCAGAGUUUGGGGAGGUGAGCCAGGCCCGUGCAGCGAGAAGCAUUGUGGAAUCCAGUAUUUAUAUCUUUAGUACAGUUAGAACUUAAAUAUGGACAAAACAUAUUUUUCUGUUAAUUUACACAAACAAAUAUGUUCCCAGGCCCAACACCUCUGGUGCCAAGUUUCUAGGGGAAAUGAAAUUCGACUGUGAGAUUAUAAACCACUAGGGAGACAAGAAUGGAAAAGCUGUGGCAAGUUAGCUUUCUGCAUCCAGAUCCGGGCUGCUGAGCGGUGUCGCUUUCUGUCUUCGUUGCAGAUAAACCUGCCAGUAAUUUCAGCGAAUGAAACGCAGAUCCUGGAAAGGCCAGAAGAUGGAAAACGCUCCAGUUUUGAUAAAAGGAGGUCUGCUCUGCCUCCAGUCCUCCCUCCUGCUGGUCAGGAGGCGCAAAGAGGAGCUGAUGAAUUGAGGGAGAAGAAACGAGGCCAAUGUGAGUCGCCUUUCAAGGGCUGUGCUGAUAUACAAACCCAACAACCUGAAACUGGUCCAAGAGGGGAUUAAAGCAACAUGUUAUUGUGAGUGAUUGCUUAAUUUAUUGAGCUGUGGCAAGAUCUGUCAUGAAAUACACCCCUUGCAACUGAUAACCUCCGGCUGCAAUUGAACUUGACAAUUAAGGAAUAUUUUCCAAGGAUUUUUCUGGAACAGCUUAGAAUUUUUUGUCUCUGUGGUGGGGUGCUUCUGAGCACUCAUUUUGCCAGGCAAGCUUUUUUCUUUUCUUUUCUUUUUUAGGAACGAAAGGCUGGUGUUAAUAGGAAAUAAGCGUCACUUUAUUGACUGCCUUGUGCACACCAGGCACUUAAUAUACUUUAUCUCUAAUCCUGACAACAGCCCAAUGAAGGAACUCUUAUUCGUCCCUAUUUUACAGAUAUGAGGUUUCUAGGUGUUCAGUAACUUCCCCAAGUGACAUUGUCCAAGUUUGUAGCUAUUAGCCACUGGUGGCUAUUUAUGUCUAAAUUAAUUAAAAAUUAUCAAAGAAAUCCACUUCCUAGGUUGCACUAGUAGCCAGCACAAGUGCCCACUCACCAGGUGUGGCUGGUGGGCACCACACUGGACAGCUCAGAUACGGACCAUUUCGAUGACUGUGGGAAGUUCUCGUGAUCAGUGCUGUCCCAGAAUGUUCACAGGUAGAAGUCCAACCCCUGGCUUCAAAAUUCUACCGUUAGACCCUCGCUUCUUGCUUCUCUUUGUGGGGCUGAGAAGUAAGGACUAGAGCUGUGAGGCUAAACCCUGGCUGCACAUUCAAGUUACCUGGGCUGCUUUAAAAAAUAUUGAUGAUAUGGUCCCAGCCCUGGAGAUUAUGACUUUACUGUGAUCGGGGGGGUGGGGAGGCGGGGAGACAGGCAUGAGGGGCUCUAUAAUUCCCCAUGUGUACAGCCAGGAUUGAGAGCAGCUAGAAGAACGGGUCCACACACAGUAAGAUGGAAAGAACUGGCUCAUCUCCCAGCAGAAUGGGGUCGCUGUGGACCCAGGCGUGGGCUUCCCCCAGGCCUGCAUCUGAGCCUUCCAUCAAACGGCUCGGGUUCCUUCCUGCAGGCAGGGAAGACUUGGGUGCUUUCCCACACGCGCCCUGCUCGAUGGAGACACGGUGAGGAGCUCUGCUUUCAGGAACAGGCCCUGUCACGCCGCCACGGAAGAAAGGAGAUGGGAUGCGAGACCACAGGGACAAAGUGGGGUCUGUAGCCCCACCUUUGGAGUGGAAGCCUCGGGACGAGCCCAUGCUGUAAUCUGCCUGACAGAAUAAAAGUGUUUCCCAGCUCUGUCAACAAAGACAUUGCAAGGGAAGAAAAAGGGAGGGAGAGAGAACCUGCGGAUUGAGAGAGACGUAAGAGACACAUCAACCAAUCCCAAUGGAGGGAACUUGUAUGGGUCCCAAUUUUAUCCAACUGUAAAGAAAACAUUUAUGAAACAACCAAAGAAUUUUGAACACUGAGUAGAUAUUUGCUGAUAUUAACGCAUUACUGUUAGUUUUAGUAGGGGUUAUGGUGGGAUAAACCCCACUCCUCUUUUGGAGUCAUAUACGAAAAUAUUCGCAAAAGAAAUGAUUUCUGUCUGGAUUUUGCUUCUAAAUAUCUGAGAUGAAAGAGGAGGAGAACGGUUAUAGAUGGAACAAGACUGGCUGAGAGUUGGUGGUUGUUGAAGCUGGGAGAUGGGUAGUUGGGGUUCAUUGUACCACAUUGCUCUUGUGUAUGCUUAAAGUUUUUCAUAAUAAAAGUAAAUUUAAAAGUGAA